AGAUUCCAAUGUCACUAACGGUUUUCUGAGGGAGUUGGAAAGAGAUAAGAGAGAGACCUUGGGGAACAAUUUUAAAGUGGCUCAAUAGCGAUCGCAGAGCCAAACUCAUACCUACAUCAAUGUGGUGCAGAGAAUCUCUAAGAAUUUUUAAUGCUGAAUUGGAGCAAAGAAACUUCAAGGAGGAAGCAAAGUGAAGAACACAGAUUUCACAGAUGGGAUGCCUGGCUCAAAUUCCAGCUUGACCGCUGGUAGCUGUGUGACCCUCGGCAAGUUACUUGACCUCUCUCUACUCAGUGUCCUCAUCUGUCAGUGUAAUAUGAAUCAGAAAACAUGAACUCAGACUGAUGCUGGAAGCCACCUUAUGACUAUAAGCAGAAUCAGCCUCGUUAUGACGUUGAUGCUAUAAGCAACGGACUGAAAGAUACAAAGAGCAAGCAGACAGGAUGAUUUUGGUAUCUGACUGAUGCUGUCUUCGUGGAAUGAGUUAGGAAAGAGUCCCUCCUCGUCAACUGUUGGGAAUACAUUCAGCAGGGUUGGUAUCAUUGCAUGUCUGGCAGAAUUUGACUAGGAAUCCAUCUGGUCCAGGAUUUUUUUUGUUGGUGUAAUGAGAUUCACUGAAGAAUUCUCAGAGUGGAAUGAGCAACAGAUUUUCAUUAGCGAAAGCUCCUCUAGCUGCUGCAUGAAAUGAUGUCUAGACAGAGAAAUGCGUAAAUGGCGACAGUAGAGCCAGCCUUCAUGAAUCCAGAAAUGUGAGCCACAUUUUGAGGAUAGCAGAGUCACUGCAGAAGCCUGGAUCCUUGCAUAACCUUGUCGAGUGGGAAAAUCUACCCAUACUUGACCAACCACCUAACUGGGGGCUCUACAUCUGAGAGAAAUGAUUUUUUAUCUUAUUUAAGCCACUGUAGUUAGGAGUCAGUUUAUUACAGGACAUUGCCUGGUGUUCCAACAAAUAAACUACCUUAUUUGUUUCAAUAAAUAAA
rnacentral:lncRNA from 1 species